GAUCAUGGCUCAGAAUCAACGCUGGCGGCGUGCCUCAGACAUGCAAGUCGAACGAUUAAACUUUCCUUCGGGAAAGAUAUAAAGUGGCGCACGGGUGAGUAACACGUAGGUAAUCUACCUUUGAGUGGGGAAUAACAAUCGGAGACGAUUGCUAAUACCGCAUAAUGCAGCGGCACCGCAAGGUGACAGUUGUUAAAGGAGCAAUCCGCUUAAAGAGGAGCCUGCGGCAGAUUAG
rnacentral:rRNA from 1 species